UGGAAACUCAAACACUUCUCUCUUUAACCAACAGAAGUCGCUCCAAUAAAAAGACAUUACCUCACCCACCUUGUCUCUGUAACAUCCUGG